GCGGGCGGCCCCGCGGUGCAUUGCUGUUGCAUUGCACGUGUGUGAGGCGGGUGCAGUGCCUCGGCAGUGCAGCCCGGAGCCGGCCCCUGGCACCGC
ensembl:miRNA MIR33B microRNA 33b